rnacentral:rRNA from 1 species
ACGCUGGCGGCAGGCUUAACACAUGCAAGUCGAACGGUAACAGGGAUUAGCUUGCUAAUUUGCUGACGAGUGGCGGACGGGUGAGUAAUGCUUGGGAAUCUGGCUUAUGGAGGGGGAUAACUACGGGAAACUGUAGCUAAUACCGCGUAAAAUCUUCGGAUUAAAGGGUGGGACUUUCGAGCCACCUGCCAUAAGAUGAGCCCAAGUGGGAUUAGGUAGUUGGUUAGGUAAAGGCUGACCAAGCCGACGAUCUCUAGCUGGUCUGAGAGGAUGACCAGCCACACUGGAACUGAGACACGGUCCAGACUCCUACGGGAGGCAGCAGUGGGGAAUGUUGCACAAUGGGGGGAACCCUGAUGCAGCCAUGCCGCGUGAAUGAAGAAGGCCUUCGGGUUGUAAAGUUCUUUCGGUGACGAGGAAGGUUGAUAGGUUAAUAGCCUAUCAAAUUGACGUUAAUCACAGAAGAAGCACCGGCUAACUCCGUGCCAGCAGCCGCGGUAAUACGGGGGGUGCGAGCGUUAAUCGGAAUAACUGGGCGUAAAGGGCACGCAGGCGGUGACUUAAGUGAGAUGUGAAAGCCCCGAGCUUAACUUGGGAAUUGCAUUUCAUACUGGGUCGCUAGAGUACUUUAGGGAGGGGUAGAAUUCCACGUGUAGCGGUGAAAUGCGUAGAUAUGUGGAGGAAUACCGAAGGCGAAGGCAGCCCCUUGGGAAUGUACUGACGCUCAUGUGCGAAAGCGUGGGGAGCAAACAGGAUUAGAUACCCUGGUAGUCCACGCUGUAAACGAUGUCGAUUUGGGGAUUGGGCUUUGAGCUUGGUGCCCGUAGCUAACGUGAUAAAUCGACCGCCUGGGGAGUACGGCCGCAAGGUUAAAACUCAAAUGAAUUGACGGGGGCCCGCACAAGCGGUGGAGCAUGUGGUU